UACGUAGGGUCCGAGCGUUGUCCGGAAUUAUUGGGCGUAAAGAGCUCGUAGGCGGUCUGUCGCGUCGGCUGUGAAAACUCGGGGCUCAACUCCGAGCCUGCAGUCGAUACGGGCAGACUAGAGUGCGGUAGGGGAGACUGGAAUUCCUGGUGUAGCGGUGGAAUGCGCAGAUAUCAGGAGGAACACCGAUGGCGAAGGCAGGUCUCUGGGCCGAUACUGACGCUGAGGAGCGAAAGCGUGGGGAGCGAACAGG
rnacentral:rRNA from 1 species